CCUACGGUGCGCAGCAGUGGGGAAUAUUGGACAAUGGGCGAAAGCCUGAUCCAGCCAUGCCGCGUGUGUGAAGAAGGCCUUCGGGUUGUAAAGCACUUUCAGUGGGGAAGAAAGCCUUGGGGCUAAUACCCUCGAGGAAGGACAUCACCCACAGAAGAAGCACCGACUAACUCCGUGCCAGCAGCCGCGGUAAUACGGAGGGUGCGAGCGUUAAUCGGAAUUACUGGGCGUAAAGCGCGCGUAGGCGGUCUGAUAAGCCGGUUGUGAAAGCCCCGGGCUCAACCUGGGAACGGCAUCCGGAACUGUCAGGCUAGAGUGCAGGAGAGGAAGGUAGAAUUCCCGGUGUAGCGGUGAAAUGCGUAGAGAUCGGGAGGAAUACCAGUGGCGAAGGCGGCCUUCUGGACUGACACUGACGCUGAGGUGCGAAAGCGUGGGUAGCAAACAGGAUUAGAUACCCCAGUAGUC
rnacentral:rRNA from 1 species